rnacentral:rRNA from 1 species
GACGAACGCUGGCGGCGUGCCUAAUACAUGCAAGUCGAGCGAAGCGGCGGAUGGGUGAGUAACGCGUGGGUAACCUUCCCUUACGUCUGGGAUACCAUUUGGAAACAGAUGCUAAUACCGGAUACUAACGGAUGGACCUGCGAUGCCUUAGCUAGUUGGUAAGGUAACGGCUUACCAAGUCGAUGAUGCAUAGCAGAGUUGAGAGACGGAUCGACCGAAGUGGGACUGAGACACGGCCCAAGCUCCUACGGUAGGCAGCAGUAGGGAAUCUUCCACAAUGGACGAAAGUCUGAUGGAGCAACGCCGCGUGAGUGAAGAAGGUUUUCGGAUCGUAAAGCUCUGUUGUUGGUGAAGCGGUAAUCAACCAGAAAGUCACGGCUAACUACGUGCCAGCAGCCGCGGUAAUUC